rnacentral:misc_RNA from 1 species
GAUGAAGAACGUAGCGAAAUGCGAUAAGUAAUGUGAAUUGCAGAAUUCAGUGAAUCAUCGAACCUUUGAACGCACAUUGCGCCCGCUAGUAUUCUGGCGGGCAUGCCUGUCCGAGCGUCAUUUCAACCCUCAAGCCCCCGGGCUUGGUGUUGGGGAUCGGCGAGCCUCCGCGCCCGCCGUCCCCUAAAUCUAGUGGCGGUCUCGCUGUAGCUUCCUCUGCGUAGUAGCACACCUCGCACUGGGAAACAGCGCGGCCACGCCGUUAAACCCCCAACUUCUGAACGUUUGACCUCGGAUCAGGUAGGAAUACCCGCUGAACUUAAGCAUAUCAAUAAGCGGAGGA